UUACAAAUGCCAUAUUGGCUCUGUGACUCUACAUCACCAAUGCCGAACGGCCGAUUUUGAACUUAGCUGCAACAUCUAUAAGAAAAGUAUAUACAAGAAAACAGGUUCGUCAAAAGAAGCACGCACCACAGUGAUACAAGUUAACAAAAUAACUAUAACAUACAAAAAGAAUGCACCACAUUUGUAAACCUCCACCGAAUUACCAGAUUCCCCACGUCACAUACUAUAUUUAGUAACAUAAUUACAUGCUUAAAUAACAGCAUUUCAAGGUUGUCAGAAUCAAGAAUUUGCAUCAGAUCAAAAGGGGAUAGCAAGCUCGUAAAACAUAAAAUCGCAACCAAGAUCAAAGGAUCCUACCAAAACAAAAUAAGUACUAAAUAUAUAUAUUAUACAAUGCAUAAAUUAGUCUAACUUUCAAAUCUUAAACAAACAUAUGACAAUCAAGUCUCAAAUCCUAAACAUAAACAAUUCAGAGCCUCAAAUCUUAAACAUAAAACAACCUAGCCAUAAAGCUUAAACAUAAACGACUCAAAACCAGGAUCAUUAGAAUCAUAGGAAUCGCACGAUUUCCUGUUUUCAUGCGACUUUGCAGGGAUUUUGCUGAAAAUCAAGGUUUCCAUGAUUCUCAUCGAUAUUAUGACAAUGAUUUUUUGCAUUUUCCUUGGAUUAGUCAUUUUCUCAACAUUUUAUAGUUGAGAAAAUUAUGUCAUUUUCUCAACUUAUGUUUGGUGUAGGGUGUCAGUGUCUGUGGUUAGUAGGCAUUUUUCAUAAUAGUCCUAAUCAGCCUUCCAUUAGGGGGUAAAUACUUGAUACCAUAAAUUAAACAUGCAGCACCGGUGGUAAAAAAAAACUAACAAUUUUACAGAAAAGAUAAAUUGUUUAAUUAGUUAGAUCAACAGAAUUACGCAAAAUCAUGAAUUAGGCAUAAGAUAUAGCUGAAACUGAAACUAACGGAACAGAGUAAAACAUGCAAACAGAGUAAGUUGUGGAAAAGUGAAAGAAAAAAAAAACAUAAAAUUAAGCGUAAUUCGUUUUUCAAUUGUUCAUGGAUGCAUAGAGUGAUAAGAUAAGAAGCGAUUUGAAUACCUAGGGUUCUUCUGGAAGGGUGCAAUUUGAAGGGGUAGAGCACCCAACCAGCGAGUAGUGUUUGACGUUCUCAGCUGGAAACUUAGUGCUUGUUUGGUAUCAAGUCUGAUAGCCUCAAAAGCCAGUUUGUUUUUUGAAACGCUGUUUCAACAUACUUUUGAUGUUUGGAUGGGUUUCAGAAUCAAUUCUCUGAAACGCGGAUUUGGCCCCAAACGUGGGUUUUCUCAAAGCUAUAAAUUGAAGCUUUCACGGCAAAGCAAAAUCUGAAUCAAACAAUUUGUUUUUCAAUGACAUGUAAAUUUACAUAAUUACCCAUAUUACAAGUUAACAACUUUCUUCUUCACAAACACACACCUUCGAUACAGAUCUAUCUUCCCCUCUGUGAGCUUGAGGCCAAUGAGACCAGUACUGAGUGAUGGAGAAAUGGUCGGAUGGAAGAAAAAUAGUGAGAUAGGGGAGAAGAAAGGUUAGAAGCGAGGUGAGAAGGAG
rnacentral:lncRNA from 1 species